rnacentral:pre_miRNA from 2 species
UCAGUAAAUGUUUAUUAGAUGAAUAAAUGAAUGACUCAUCAGCAAACAUUUAUUGUGUGC